rnacentral:rRNA from 1 species
AUGAUUAUUGGGCCUAAAGCAUCCGUAGCCGGCUCUGUAAGUUUUCGGUUAAAUCUGUACGCUCAACGUACAGGCUGCCGGGAAUACUGCAGAGCUAGGGAGUGGGAGAGGUAGACGGUACUCGGGAGGAAGUGGUAAAAUGCUUUGAUCUCUCGAUGACCACCUGUGGCGAAGGCGGUCUACCAGAACACGUCCGACGGUGAGGGAUGAAAGCUGGGGGAGCAAACCGGAUUAGAUACCCGGGUAGUCCCAGCUGUAAACUAUGCAAACUAAGUGAUGCAUUGGCUUGUGGCCAAUGCAGUAUUUCAGGGAAGCCGUUAAGUUUGCCGCCUGGGAAGUACGUACGCAAGUAUGAAACUUAAAGGAAUUGGCGGGGGAGCACCACAAGGGGUGAAGCCUGCGGUUCAAUUGGAGUCAACGCCAGAAAUCUUACCCGGAGAGACAGCAGAAUGAAGGUCAAGCUGAAGACUUUACCAGACAAGCUGAGAGGUGGUGCAUGGCCGUCGCCAGCUCGUGCCGUGAGAUGUCCUGUUAAGUCAGGUAACGAGCGAGAUCCCUGCCUCUAGUUGCCACCAUUACUCUCAGGAGUAGUGGGGCGAAUUAGCGGGACCGCCGUAGUUAAUGCGGAGGAAGGAAGGGGCCACGGCAGGUCAGUAUGCCCCGAAACUCUGGGGCCACACGCGGGCUGCAAUGGUAAUGACAAUGGGUUCCAAAUCCGAAAGGAGGAGGUAAUCCCCAAACAUUACCACAGUUAUGACUGAGGGCUGCAACUCACCCUCACGAAUAUGGAAUCCCUAGUAACUGCGUGUCAUUAUCGCGCGGUGAAUACGUCCCUGCUC